ACAACAUUCGGACCGUCGGUCUACCGAGCAAUAUCACCCGCUCGGUGUAAGAUCUUCCCUUUGUCGU
rfam:Bombyx mori DNA, contig: Bm_scaf43_contig24249, strain: p50T/Dazao, build 2, whole genome shotgun sequence.